AUAUGAACGUUGAGCAGAUUAGUAGGUGCACGCUGACAUUUAGAGAACCCUUGCUGGUGAAAAUAGGGUGGUAAGCUGCAUUGAAUCACGUCUGUGAGUUGUUCCCCUGAACUUUGAGUAAGGGGAUACCGGUAAGCUCGUUAUCGCUGAAGUUUAUGAAAUAAACUUAUUGAGGUUCGUUGUGUGAGCAGCGAACGAAGAUGAGGUGGCACAGCGAAUAAUUCGCCCUCUUG
rnacentral:ncRNA from 1 species